rnacentral:rRNA from 1 species
AUUGAACGCUGGCGGCAGGCCUAACACAUGCAAGUCGAGCGGAGCGGGGGACGGGUGAGUAAUGCCUAGGAAUCUGCCUGGUAGUGGGGGAUAAAUUCCGGCAACGGGCGCUAAUACCGCAUACUUUCAAAUGGGCCUCGGUCGGAGUAGCUAGUGGGUGGGGUAACGGACUACCACGGCGACGAUCCGUAACUGGUCUGGGAGGAUGAUCAGUCACACUGGAACUGAGACACGGUCCAGACUCCUACGGGAGGCAGCAGUGGGGAAUAUUGGACAAUGGGCGAAAGCCUGAUCCAGCCAUGCCGCGUGUGUGAAGAAGGUCUUCGGAUUGUAAAGCACUUUAAGUUGGGAGGCGUUACCAACAGAAUAAGCACCGGCUAACUUCGUGCCAGCAGCCGCGGUAAUAC